rnacentral:rRNA from 1 species
GAUGAACGCUGGCGGCGUGCCUAAUACAUGCAAGUCGAGCGAACAGACGAGGAGCUUGCUCCUCUGACGUUAGCGGCGGACGGGUGAGUAACACGUGGAUAACCUACCUAUAAGACUGGGAUAACUUCGGGAAACCGGAGCUAAUACCGGAUAAUAUAUUGAACCGCAUGGUUCAAUAGUGAAAGACGGUUUUGCUGUCACUUAUAGAUGGAUCCGCGCCGCAUUAGCUAGUUGGUAAGGUAACGGCUUACCAAGGCGACGAUGCGUAGCCGACCUGAGAGGGUGAUCGGCAACACUGGAACUGAGACACGGGCCAGACUCCUACGGGAGGCAGCAGUAGGGAAUCUUCCGCAAUGAGCGAAAGCUUGACGGAGCAACGCCGCGUGAGUGAUGAAGGUCUUCGGAUCGUAAAACUCUGUUAUUAGGGAAGAACAAAUGUGUAAGUAACUAUGCACGUCUUGACGGUACCUAAUCAGAAAGCCACGGCUAACUACGUG